UGGGGAAUCUUGGACAAUGGGCGCAGGCCUGAUCCAGCCAUGCCGCGUGGAUGAUGAAGGCCUUAGGGUUGUAAAAUCCUUUCGCCGAGGACGAUAAUGACGGUACUCGGAGAAGAAGCUCCGGCUAACUUCGUGCCAGCAGCCGCGGUAAUACGAAGGGGGCUAGCGUUGUUCGGAUUUACUGGGCGUAAAGCGCGUGUAGGCGGGUCGUUAAGUUGGGGGUGAAAUCCCGAGGCUCAACCUCGGAACUGCCUUCAAAACUGGCGACCUGGACCUAAGUAGAGGCAAGUGGAAUUGCGAGUGUAGAGGUGAAAUUCGUAGAUAUUCGCAGGAACACCAGUGGCGAAGGCGACUUGCUGGACUUAUGGUGACGCUGAGACGCGAAAGCGUGGGGAGCAAACAGGAUUAGAUACCCUCGUAGUCCCUGAGCGGGCUGGCAAGGCGCAU
rnacentral:rRNA from 1 species